rnacentral:rRNA from 1 species
GACGAACGCUGGCGGCGUGCUUAACACAUGCAAGUCGAACGGAAAGGCCCUGCUUUUGUGGGGUGCUCGAGUGGCGAACGGGUGAGUAACACGUGAGUAACCUGCCCUUGACUUUGGGAUAACUUCAGGAAACUGGGGCUAAUACCGUAUAGGAGCUCCUGCUGCAUGGUGGGGGUUGGAAAGUUUCGGCGGUUGGGGAUGGACUCGCGGCUUAUCAGCUUGUUGGUUGGGUAGUGGCUUACCAAGGCAGUGACGGGUAGGCGGCCUGUGAGGGUGACCGGCCACAUUGGGACUGAGGUAGGGCCCAGACUGGUACGGGAGGCAGCAGUGGGGAAUAUUGCACAAUGGGACGAAGCCUGAUGCAGCAACGCCGCGUGCGUGAUGACGGCCUUCGGGUUGUAAACCGCUUUCGCCUGUGACGAAGCGUGAGUGACGGUAAUGGGUAAAGAAGCACCGGCUAACUACGUG